rnacentral:rRNA from 1 species
UACGUAGGGGGCAAGCGUUGUCCGGAUUUAUUGGGCGUAAAGAGCUCGUAGGCGGCUUGGCAAGUCGGGUGUGAAAACUCCAGGCUCAACCUGGAGAUGCCACUCGAGACUGCUAUGGCUAGAGUCCGGUAGGGGACCACGGAAUUCCUGGUGUAGCGGUGAAAUGCGCAGAUAUCAGGAGGAACACCGGUGGCGAAGGCGGUGGUCUGGGCCGGCACUGACGCUGAGGCGCGAAAGCCAGGGAGCGAACGGG